rnacentral:rRNA from 1 species
AUUGAACGCUGGCGGCAGGCCUAACACAUGCAAGUCGAACGAGUGGCGGACGGGUGAGUAAUGUCUGGGAAACUGCCCGAUGGAGGGGGAUAACUACUGGAAACGGUAGCUAAUACCGCAUACCAUCGGAUGUGCCCAGAUGGGAUUAGCUAGUAGGUGGGGUAACGGCUCACCUAGGCGACGAUCCCUUGCUGGUCUGAGAGGAUGACCAGCCACACGGGAACUGAGGCACGCUCAGGACUCCUAAGCGGUGCAGAAGUGGGGAAUAUUGCACAAUGGGCGCAAGCCUGAUGCAGCCGUGCCGGGUGUAUGAAGAAGGAGUACGGGUUGGAAAGUACUUUCGGCGAGGAGGCUGUACGCGCAGAAGAAGCACCGGCUAACUCCGUGCCAACCGCCGCGGUAAUUC